rnacentral:rRNA from 1 species
CAGAGGGUGCAAGCGUUAAUCGGAAUUACUGGGCGUAAAGCGUGCGUAGUCGGUCAUCUAAGUCGGAUGUGAAAUCCCCGGGCUCAACCUGGGAAUUGCAUUCGAUACUGGAUGGCUAGAGUUCGGCAGAGGGAAGCGGAAUUUCUGGUGUAGCGGUGAAAUGCGUAGAUAUCAGAAGGAACAUCAGUGGCGAAAGCGGCUUCCUGGACCAGAACUGACGAUCAGGCACGAAAGCGUGGGGAGCAAACAGGAUUAGAUACCCUGGUAGUCCACGCCAUAAACGAUGACAACUAGACGUUGGGGACAUAUGGUCCACAGUGUCGCAGCUAACGCGUUAAGUUGUCCGCCUGGGGAGUACGGCCGCAAGGUUG